UGUUCAUCUUCUAUAGGACUUCCAGCAUUGCAGUGUAACAGUAACAACAAUUAAACAUUUGAUAAAGAAAAAAGAAUCCCACUAAGGUGAGGACUGUCAAUAUCUUGAGCAAAGAAAAACCUCAUAUGACAAUAGAGAAACAUCAUUCUUUUCUUUUACACUCGUGAAUUUGCUUUCACAGAGUGACCUUUAUGACGUUUUGGACAUUCUCUCUUGUCAAUAGAUGAUUAAUGUCAGGGAAAACACUCCAAAUCUUCCAUAGAUCACACAGAUCUACAGUGAGAGCAGCAGGUUUAUUCUGUUGUACUGAUUCUACUUGCCAUGUUUGUGAUGUCAUAGAGGUCUGAGGGGGUUUCUGUCUGUGUGUGGAGGCAUGGCAAGCAGCGACCAGUCUCAUGAGUGACAGAUUCCAGAAUUCUUGGCUGCUAGAAGCAGAGGAAUGGCUCGUUUUGAAUUUAACUGAAAUAUAAAUUGAAAUGCUUAUAACACCUAAAUGUAACUAUGUUCCUUAAAGAGGAAACUAGAUUUAGAUUUUAAUGAUCACCUAUGAGAAGUGCUCAGAGAAUGCCUGAUGAUAAGAAGGUGGCACACUGAAGAUAAAGAUCAGUGGACACAGGGGCUGCAAGGGUGGCUUCUGGGAAAAGAAUGCAAAAGCUGUUCCAUAUCAGAUCAGAGCCAGUUCCACACAGUUCCAAAAUGGACCUGCUGCUGGGCAGAGCUGAGUCAUGACCAAUGCUAACUGUGCCUCUACAAUAAAAUAUUUAAGAAAGAGAAAAAUUGCUGUAUGGGAGCAGCUGGAACACUGGAGUGAGAAAAUGUGAGGAAAACAGUCCUGCAGGCACCAAGGUCAGUGCAGAUGGCAGGAGGUACUCUAGGCAUAGAGCAGAAGUUUCCUGAAGCCCAGAAGAGGCCCAUGAUAGAUCAGGCUGUCUCCCUGCAGCCCAUGGGCUCCAUGCAGAGCAGAUCCCAGUGUGCAGCCAUGGAGGAGCCCAUGGAUCUGUUUGGAAGGAAUAUAUCCCAUAGGAGGGAUCUGCUGCUGGAGCAGGGGAAGUGCAUCAGGGUGGAAGAGUGACAGAGAAAAAGUGUUAUGGACUGACUGCAACUGCUAUUUCCCACUCUCCUGCACUUCUUGGAAUGGGAAAGAGGCUGAAGAAGUGCAGGGUUAUUUUGUUCAGUAGACUUUUCUAGUUUGCUUUUCAUUCUUCCCCAAACUGAGUCUAUUUUGUCCGCAGUGGUAAUAGGUGAGAAACAUCCAUAUCCUUAUCUCAGCCCAUUAGCUGUUACUUCAUGUUUCCCUCUCUAUUCUGUUGAGGAGGGGAAGUAAGAGAGCAGCAUGAUGAAUACUGAGCAGCAAGGUCAAAUCUUUUUUUUUUUUCCAUUAGCAAGCAUUUAUGAACAUUUUAGUUGUCAUUUUUCUUUUUCUUUUGUGUUUUAGCAUCCUCAAUGUUCUCUAAAGAAUUAUUCGCUUUCCACUAACAUUAUUUUUUAAUUCUUUCAGGCCAGGGUAGCGGUGGGAGAUUUAAAUGGGCGCAAACCCGGAAGAGACCCUUUUGAUCGCCGAGGUUUGCUGCUUUGGAGCUUCCCCAGGCAGAGCUGAGGCGGCUGAUCGCGGGGUGCAUAGAGGACUCGCUCAGUUUUCACUCAUCCAGGGAUUCCCGAGGCAUCGGAGCAGCCCAGUACCUCUCGCGAGAGCGGCUCACGUGGCAGGGGCGUUGCCAGGGUAGCGGCUCUCCGUCCCCGCCUCCCUCCCCCCCCCAAUAAGAGCGUUGAAGACGGGGAAGAGGAGUUUUGUCACUGUGAAGAGGGUGAUAAGUGCGGCUGUACCAGUCAACGACCUGGUAAAAGAGUGAGGGCAGAUCCAGCACUUUCAGUAACGGGGCGGAGCUGUUAGUCACACUUGGUAACGCUACUCUUAUUGUGCUGGUGCUAGUGGGUCUGCUGGAUUGCCAUGGCUGCGUCCCGGCGGAAGGCUACUGCCAGGAAACAUGUGGGGACCCAGACAGAGGUCCCCUGCACUCGUAAGAGGAAGGCUGUAGCCAAGAAGAGUGUGGAGACCCAGACUGAGGUCCCAAAACAGCACGCUAGCGUUCAGGUUGCUGGCUGACACGAGUGCCAGAGUCUGGCCCUUGAAGUGCCAGGUGAUGGAGGCAGCGUCUCUGUAAGGUGCGACCAGGUAAAUGACCUUCUCAGUCUGGUGGCCUGCCUGAGGGAAGAGGUGGAGAG